UUUUGUUGGAGUUCAUGUACAUAUCUAUCUUCAACUCGCUAGUGCGAGUCGUUUUGGAUCUUGGAUUUUGGCGUACGUAUAUGGAACUCAGUUUGGUUUUCUACUGAUUCUUCUAGCAGCUCUAUACUACUGUUUAUAGUAUUAUAUGAUUUACAGGUACAGCUAUCGCUUCGUAUACAGGAAAAAUUUCUUUGUAUACGGCGGGUUUGUCAGCGCACCCAGGGAACGAGUAAUCCGGGGCGUGACAUCAAUGAUUUAAAAACUAAAUUGAACCGAUUAAUUUGACUGAUCAGAUUUUUACCUAUUCUAUCAAGAAUCUGAUUUUAACGUAUCGAACCGAAUAACAUUAAGAACAAUUUGGAACCGGUAAAGAUAAUUUAUAUUUUAAACAGAAUGAUAAUUUAACUGUUAGAGCUAAUAAAUAUUUUAAAUAUAAUUUUAAACAUAUAAAUUAAAAAGAUUAGAAUUAUUGGUGAGAAAAAAAAUAUUUAGGAAUUUGAAUUCGAAUCUGACUAACAAUCACAAAACUUAUUUUCGAACUCGACGAAUUUCAAAAAUCCAUAUCCAAAUUCAAAACUGACCAAUUUUUCGAAACCCAAAACCAACCUAAAUCAUAAGACUACAAUUCAAACAAUUAUUUAUGUUUACCAUAUUUCAAAGUAUUUAUAUGAAACUUAAAAUUUUAAAAUAUAAAUUUGAAUAUAAUAUUAAAUUUUAAAUUUAAAAGUGAAAUUUAAAUUAGUGGAAUUUCAUAUUACUAUUUAAAGUUUAAAUUCAAUGAUCAUAUUGUCAAAUUAUUUGAAAUUUUUUUUAUAUGAAAUGUCAAAAUAUGAAAGGAAAGAUAGAGAUCGAAAAAAGAAACAAGGAAAAAGUAAAAAUUUUGAAAAUAUAGUAGAUGUAUAAUGACUAAAUUGCUUAUGUAUUAAAAGACAAAAAUAUUCUUUUUUGAGGUACCUGGUAACCGGUACCUUUUCCAAAGUGACCUGCAAGUCACAAUUUUAAAAAAACUAAAUCUAAACCGUUGAAUACGCGUCAAUGAACGAUAACAAAAAAAAAAAAGAAAAAAGUAUAGAAGUAUUACUCUGGAAAUAUUUAUUUGCAGGGACUAGAACUAUGAGUCCUUUGUAUUCUUCUAGUUGCAGUUGUCGAUUUCAUAGGAGUCUUUUAGUGAUCAGUUAUCUUUACUGUACAAAGUGAGUAAUCUCUGAAUCUUCGUACAGUACUCUGUUUUGCCUUUUUCUUUUAGAGGGUGUUUGGGUCAGCGUAAAAUAAAUCAAAAAUUAUUUUUGUUAUGAAAAUUGCUUUUUUUUUUAUUUGAUUUGACGUAAAAAUAUUUUUUACGAAUUUGAAAAAAAAAAAAUUGAAGUUUUUGAUUUUCAUUGUUUUUCGGCCGAAAAUAAAAACUCAAGCUACGUAUAACUUUUUUUAUUUAUUUAUUUUUCUUUUAACCAGACAAAUAUUGAUGAAAAUUUUUUUUUCUAAUAUAUAUAUAUAGAGAGAGUCCGGUUACUAUACUUUUAUGAGUACGAUCGCUCCCGUACUCAUAAGUUAUUUUCGGUGAUUGAGUUUCCGAAUCGACGAUCCACAGCAUUAAACGUUAUCUAGAACAUUUAAAACGUUUAGAAAUCAAAUUUUAUAAUUUUUCGACAUCAUUUACCUUACGAUCAAAAUGUCACAAAAUUAACAAUUUUUAACGAUCGGUAUGGAAUAUUUGCUAGUUUAACGGUGUAAAAGAAUCGAAAUCGGUUGAAUUUUUUAUAGAAAAUUCUAUUCACUACAUAGGUAAAGAUCAAUAACUCCGAUCUUAAAUUGAAGGAUCCGAUCAUCUAUUUUUAAGACGUCGUUCGAUUUCGAACGUUCAUUUUAUACCCACUUGAUUAACUUUAUUAUGAUUUCGAAAAAUUACAAAAUUUAUUUUUCAUAAAUUUCAAAUACUCUAAAUCAUAUUUAACGGAGUGGAUCGUCGAUUCGAAAGUUCAAUCAUUAAAAACAAUUUAUGAGGAUGAAAGGCUCUAUGCUUAUAAGAGUAUAGUAGCCAUAACCUAUAUAUUUCUACUUUUUUUUUUUUCUUCGCUUUUUUAAUCCAAAACUCUUCAGUCAAGCACGCCGGCGAGGAGCGAUUUGAGACCCAGGCGAAGGGAUGCCGGGAAGACAAGAUAUAUAAGCAAAAUCUCCUUCUUCUUUUUUUCCCAAUAUAUGUAGCUUCUAUGUCCCUUUAUCUCUCAUUAAUAGUUUUUUUUAUCAUUGUUAGCUUCCAUCUCUCCUCUUUUCCUUGCUAGCUGAAACCAGUGUUGAUAUUCACAUCUUUAUGAUUACUAAGGUGGAGAUUGAUAAAAUGAUGGUUAAAAGUAUUAUUUUUAUAUUAUUAAAAGCUCAAUGCUCUUAAAUUACGGUUAUAAUCGCCAUCGAAACAUACUUCUUUGAUGACUGUUGCAACCAUAAUUUUAUAGUAUAAAAAAAACAAAUAUUGAAAGCACUUUUGUAUUUUUUUGGACAUUCUAUAGUAUACAUAUAGU
rnacentral:lncRNA from 1 species